rnacentral:rRNA from 1 species
GACGAACGCUGGCGGCGUGCCUAACACAUGCAAGUCGAGCGGAGGAAUGAUGAAAGCUUGCUGGAUUCAUGACUCAGCGGCGGACGGGUGAGUAACGCGUGAGCAAUCUGUCCCAUACAGGGGGAUAAUACCGCGAAAGUGGUUCUAAUACCGCAUGAGACCACACUUGGGCAUCCAGGAGGGGUCAAAGGAGUGAUCCGGUAUGGGGUGAGCUCGCGUCCGAUUAGAUAGUAGGUGAGGUAACGGCCCACCUAGUCGACGAUCGGUAGCCGACCUAAGAGGGUGAUCGGCCACAUUGGGACUGAGACACGGCCCAGACUCCUACGGGAGGCAGCAGUGGGGAAUAUUGGGCAAUGGGGGAAACCCUGACCCAGCAACGCCGCGUGAAGGAAGAAGGUCUUCGGAUCGUAAACUUCUGUCCUACAGGAAGAUGAGAAGACUGUACUGUAGGAGGAAGCCCCGGCUAACUACGUGCCAGCAGCCGCGGUAAUACGUAGGGGGCAAGCGUUGUCCGGAAUGAUUGGGCGUAAAGGGCGCGUAGGCGGCCUGAUAAGUCUGGAGUGAAAGUCCCGCUUUCAAGGUGGGAACUGCUUUGGAUACUGUCGGGCUUGAGUGCAGGAGAGGUCAUUGGAAUUCCCAGUGUAGCGGUGAAAUGCGUAGAGAUUGGGAGGAACACCAGUGGCGAAGGCGAGUGACUGGACUGUAACUGACGCUGAGGCGCGAAAGUGUGGGGAGCAAACAGGAUUAGAUACCCUGGUAGUCCGCACGGU